rnacentral:rRNA from 1 species
AUUGAACGCUGGCGGCAUGCCUUACACAUGCAAGUCGAACGGCAGCACGGGAGCAAUCCUGGUGGCGAGUGGCGAACGGGUGAGUAAUAUAUCGGAACGUGCCCGGUCGUGGGGGAUAACGUAGCGAAAGCUACGCUAAUACCGCAUACGAUCUACGGAUGAAAGCGGGGGAUCGCAAGACCUCGCGCGAUUGGAGCGGCCGAUAUCAGAUUAGGUAGUUGGUGAGGUAAAGGCUCACCAAGCCGACGAUCUGUAGCUGGUCUGAGAGGACGACCAGCCACACUGGGACUGAGACACGGCCCAGACUCCUACGGGAGGCAGCAGUGGGGAAUUUUGGACAAUGGGCGCAAGCCUGAUCCAGCAAUGCCGCGUG